AGUGAACGUUGGCGGCGUGGAUUAGGCAUGCAAGUCGAGCGAGAACCGUAGCAAUACGGGGACAGCGGCGAAAGGGACAGUAAUGUGUAGGUACCUACACCGAGGUCUGGGAUAGCUGCGGGAAACUGCAGGUAAUACAGGAUAAUGUCUUCGGAACAAAGGUGUGAGUCCGCCUUGGGGGGGGCCUGCAUCCUAUUAGCUUGUUGGCGGGGUAACGGCCCACCAAGGCGACGAUGGGUAGCGGGUGUGAGAGCACGACCCGCGUCAUUGGGACUGAGACACUGCCCAGGCACCUACGGGUGGCUGCAGUCGAGGAUCUUCGGCAAUGGGCGCAAGCCUGACCGAGCGACGCCGCGUGCGGGAUGAAGGCCUUCGGGUUGUAAACCGCUGUCGUAGAGGAGGAAAUGCAGGGGGGUUCUCCCUUCUGUUUGACCUAUUCUAGGAGGAAGGACGGGCUAAGUUCGUGCCAGCCGCCGCCGUAA
rnacentral:rRNA from 1 species